GCCGCUGAGGGAAGGGAAGGGAAGGGAAGGGAGGGAAGGGAAGGAGCGGAGCCGGGAGGCGAGGCCAGGCGAGGAGGAGCGGGGCCGGCCUGCUGCGGCCGCCCGGCAAAACAAACCCGCCGCCCUGGCAGCGCGGGGGUCGGCGGCCGGGGCGGGGGGACCCCCUCCCUCCCCUUCUCCACACAGACACAGACACGACGCCCCCCUCCCGCGCUCUCCGGGCAGGCGCAGCCGCGGCCGGGCGUGCGUGAGGGGAGGCGGGCUGCGGGGAGGCCGCCCGCCCGCCCGCGGCCCUGACAGGAAAGGGAGGCCGCCCGGGCCUGCCGGCGGCUGCGGGGCCCAGGCGGCCGCCCGCGGCCGCGCCUCGGGGCGCUGCCGGUUCGGAGCCUGAGGGAGCUUGGCCGGGGAAGGGCCGUCGGGCACGGCAGGCCCCCUGCGAGCCGGCGGCGUGGCGCGGUGCUGGAAGUUUUUUCUAGGAAAGCCAUUAAUUGCUCUCCGCUGAUAAAAGCGCUUAUGUAAAUGCAGGAUUUAACGCGGUGGUUUUACUUUUUUUUUUUUUUUGGCGUAGCGCGUCGCGGUUGGCAAUGGUACCAGCGGUGCCGGGCGCCGGGGAUGCAGUGGUGCGCGGGUGCGGGGUUCGGCGCAGCUCGGCGCUUACGCCUGGGUCCGUUAGUGCGUCUACCCUGUAAUUUUAUUUAAUGAAAAUAAUCCUCUGCAGCAAUAAUGUUGUGUCCUACCUGGGUGCUCUUCGUUUUUAGAACCGAAAUGGUAUUUAUCGCUUAGAUGGCAGGGCGGUUUAAUUUUUAAAGCGAGCUUCGUUAAUCGAAACCACGCUCGUCACUAGGCAGUCCUUUCCAUCUUAAAAUGUUUUUGCAAUAGCAUUUCAUGCUCUUGGGCGUUGGUCCAACGCUCUCGUGUCCAGACAUUGGCACUCACGCAGAGUCGCAAUGACCACAAACCAUGCACAGAUCGGACGGCACCAUCAGAUGUCAUUCCUGCUUGUGCCAAAGGCUUUCCACGCGAGUGAGCCCAGAGCUCGGCAUUGCUGGAGAAUUACGCUAGUCCUAAGGCGGCAGUUCUGGAGUUAAGGGUGCGUUUUCCUUUCAGCCUAAUGGCUGGGACGUGCCAUAGGCAGAUUUCACCUACCUGAGCUUCAUCGCACAAGCGGAUGGGACCCCUCGGCUCCACAAAGCCUCAGUGAAAGUAGCUGGGUGGGUCUCUGGGUGUAGGAUCACCUCACAGUGCUCAUUUUUUUCAGGGUCAGGCCCGUGCACUUUUCCCUCUUUUAAUGAAGAAUAAUAUUUAAAUACUUGGCAGGAGACAGAUGUUUUUGCAUUGCAAAAUCAUUUGAUUCUGAGAAAGCCCUGGACCUGCAAUCCGUUUGCUUGAAGAGGCCUGAGUUACAUGAGGAAACAAAAGUCUCUCUAGAAAGCCAGGGAGCAUAUUUGCAAUUGCAAACCACUAGAUGUUCAACAUUUAUUUCUGUAAUGAUUUUGAUGGCCCAAGUCAGCAACUUUCUCUUCUCAGUAAUGGUGUGUAGGUUGUCUGCUCUAGGUACGUAAAGAGGCGAUAAUUUUUGAAGACCGUAUCUGGUCCAAUUCCAAAAUUUGACCACUUUGCUGAAAGUGGGGAAAUUUAAAAGGGGCAAAAAAAUGGGCGAGGGACUCAUUAACACCUCCCUGCAUUAUAACCUCAGAUCUGUCCAUGCUUCUAAAGGAGUUCAACCUCUUGAUACUCUGAUUUAUUUCCCAGGUCAAAGAAGAUAAGCAAUAACCGUGGGUGGAGGAAGGGGGAAUGGGAGUAUGCACGUAGCCUAAGGCAAGAGGAAAGAAGACAAGGGACCUCUUACAGGGGACUGUGGGACACCAGGGGCCUGAAGAAGGGUAUGGGAGGAGUUGUGAGAAGUCCAUGAAACAGGGACGGGAGGUGUAACAUUCAGAAAAGCUCGUGUGAGAAACGGAGGAGGGAAAAACCCCCUAAGUGCGCAUUAUUUGGCCCACAGGAACUACAAACGCCGUCUUCCCAUCUAUCUGCUGAGCAGCGACAACGUGCUGAACUGAAGUCAUCUGGCUGAAGGUUUCCAUGGUCUAGUGUUCUGCAAAUGUUCAGUCACGACUCCGGUGUGCCAGGCUCUCAUUUUUAACACAAUGAUGUACUCGACUGGGUGAUCACCCGAGUAUACAUUCUGCUCUGCAGAAUCUACAAAGUGCAUUCUGGCAGAUUUAUGCUUUAAUAAUUUUACCCCAUUUGUUUUGUUCUGGUUUCUCUUUCUUUACAAAGGCGAACACCCCACGGGACUGCAGAAGGGCCUUACUUUCUGUGAUGAGCUUUAGACUUUGUAGUUCUGUUGCCCGAAUACACAGCUGGGCUCAGAGUUACCGGGGCCACUUCCAGAGCGUACGGGAGGGAGGUUCUCGCUUUCGGAGGUUUCCAAGAAUGGAUGUUGGGUAACACAGGGAAGUUGAGCAGGUUAUGGUCUACGGCAGGUUGUUCAGUGAGUGAGCCGAGCUUAGGGAGUUGGCUUUGCCUUGAGCUGGGAGAGGCACUUCUAAACAAUAACCGUUGUUAUGUUUCCUUUCCCAAAGUCUCCUAGUAGCAAGAAAGACGGGAUGAAACCCUACCUUUUGGAUGUGGAAAUGGAGCGGAGCUGAGGUCCUGGUUCAUCCAUGUGUUUAAAUAAAAGCGUGCCUUCAAAGUGCUUCAGUAAUACGGCUGCUCGCGUUCUGCAGCUCUGCUAUCCCAACUACUGGAGAGUCUUCUCACGGCCAUAUUUGUCGGGGCAGGACUGAAGACCCAGUGAGAUACCAGUACAUCAGUAACAACUGGAUGACUGACUUCAGAAAAGGAAGUUCAGGCCCAGUCCACCACGCAGUUUAGGUGCCAGAACGAACUUUGCCACGUAUGGCAGUGCAUAAAUAAAUCCCAAUGAACCAGGAAAGCUCUUUUUGCUCCUUUUUAGCUCUUGUUUAUGCAAAGGCUCCCCCAGUUACGGCACCCCAUCCUAUACAAACACCGCACCAAGAAAAUGCAAGCCCUUACUGGGUGAGAAAUGGCAGUGACUCAGCACCACGUUGUGCAACAGGGAGAGCUGGGACAAGUCUGGCCAACACCGGGGCAAACCCUUUCCCUCGUAAAAAUUACCAUACGGCCUUUGAUAUGCAGGCAAGCCCCAGUUAAACCUGAUAUUUAAACAAGCGGGACUUAAACCCUGUUGACUUAGACAGAAGAACCGGCAGGCUCCCACCGGGGGAGUGCCUUGGCUCCGGGCUUGCCGAGGCGGAGGAGAGACGGGGUGCUGGAAUCGGGCUCCCCACAUGGACGGUCUGGUUCCCCGUGAAGAUGCUUUUUUCAUUUUGCGUCCCAAAGUGGAUUCACGUAAACCACAAAGGCACCUUUCGUCCUAAUAAUGCUGCCAUGCCAGAAAACGGUGGGAAAGAGCAGAGAGAGGUACACCCACACCCUAGCAAUUUCCCCAUGACUUCCCCGUGACCUCCCUGUGUCUGCCAGCUCUGAAUCUGGAGCACUGAACAGUUCGGGCCAGUGGCCUUCCUACUCUAAGACUUAUUUUCUCCCUUACUAUGAGGAAGAUACCAACUUAAACAAAACAACCUCUAAAUUAUUUGUCUUUGUGUUGUGCAUACUGAGAAAGGAAAUGGAAGUUCACCAGUUUGAAGGGACUGGCUUUAUUCUUUUUGCAGCUGCUGACAAUGACUGUUUGCAGGAGAGGACAUGCUGGGAAAGGGACUUGUUUCUGAGUAGGGAGCAUCUUCUGCCACUACCUUGGCAUACAAAUUCAUCAGUAAUUGAUCAGUGGACACGUGGUAAAAAAUGUCUGGUAUUGGUGAUGAACAUGCCUGUAGCACUACUUUU